CGCGCAGGGCCGGCACUGGCUGCUUGGAGGCCGCUUCCUCGGGUUUCCCACGCUGUCCUUUCCUAGCUGACCCUCCCAGGGAGGCUUUCCUUUCCUGUGAGGCUGGCAGAGGAGUGGCACAGAGGACUUUUCAUACAAGCUCAGGUAAAGACAAAGCCAAGGACAUUUUGAAAAAAAAAAAAAAAAGAAAGAAACGUCUCCUAGAAUAGGAAGGGAAAAUUCGAUGAGCUUGGGAAGGGAAUAUCUUUCCAUCUUUCCUACUUUGGAAACCACUGCUCUAGCCUGUUUAUAAAUCCUCUCCGGAAACAGAGGUGAGGAGAAUUGAAGUGCAAUAAUAACGUAUGGCCUUUGUCUCUGCAGUUGACCUGGGGUAAAAAUGUCCUUGUCACCGUGUUCAAGGGUCAGGUGGAGGCAAGAUAAAGGAACAGCUAGUGUGUUCUGCUAUCAGUCUGUAAACAUUUCUUGUCGGCCUCUCUUACUAAUAUUCUGAUGGCAUCGUUGUACCCAGAAAUGACAUUCGCCCACAUACCAGGAAGAUGCUCAGAGUUGGAAAGUUGUGUGCCAUCAUUUGUCUCCGGCAUUAAAUCUGCUUGCUUUGAAUUUUAACAUAAAUUUAGCCCAAAUGUUUGGAAAGAGAGAGAUGUUUGAGAAAAGAUCGCGUCUUCUUCAGAAGGAAUAAUGAGUACACCCCACCCACCUCCAACAUACAUACUGUUCAUGAAGCCUGACAGCAGGCAUCAUUCCAGCUUUUUAUCACAAAAGGAACAUCUGGCCUAAAUAGGUGGCAAAGUUAGAUAAUGCUCCUGUCUAGUACCUGUUUGUCAGGGUUAUAAAUAUGCCCUUGCUUACCUAGCGGCAUCACCCAAAAUCGUGUCACUCCCUGCCUAAGAGGUUGGACUCCUGGAAGUUUGGAUUGCAUCAUUGUGUCAACCAGAGGAUAUUAAAAACUCAAGCAAAGAGUAUCUCAAUAAAUGAUCCAAUAGUUUUACUCUUUUUGAUUAUGAUCGUUAACCGGCCCAUCAAAUCUCUCCAAUUCUUUAUUGGCUUCGUUUCCAUUGGUGAAAUUUUAGCAGUAGCCUCUACUAUGAUACCACUAGCAAUGUCAGCUAGACCACAAGUAUACUCAGUGUUUAAGACUUUGUUGGGAAUGAGUAUGAGCCCUGAGGUAAUGACCCCUGAGGUAUUGACCCCUGAGGUAAUGACCCCUGAGGUAAUGACCCCUGAGGUAAUGCUCUAACCCCACUGACUUCAGUUAGAUAACUGCCUACCAUGGAGGAAGUUAGUUACAGAGAAAUUAUCUUGGAGGGAAAGAUUGUCUUCUAAAAGGGAGAAGAUAAGAUGGGGAUUCACUCCAGUUAGAGGACCCACAAUUUGCUAAUUCCUCUUCUUUUUGGAUCUUAGUAAGUCAUUGUUGUUGUUGUUGUUAUUGUUGUUGUUGUUUUUCUUCCAGGCAGAGAAUUGUAUAGUUCCUGAUCAACUAUAUAAUGUGAAAAACAGAUAUAAACCAAUUCUUCUUAUUGAGAUUGUAAUUCAAUUACAGUAUUUCUCCCAUCCCUUUCCUUCCUCCAAACCUUCUAUAUAGCUGUCCCUACUAUUCAAAUUUAUGGCCCCUUUUUCAUUAAUUGUUAUUGCAUAUAUGUACUUGUAUAUAAAUAUUUAUUCUCCAGUA
rnacentral:lncRNA from 1 species